ACUCCUACGGGAGGCAGCAGUGGGGAAUAUUGCACAAUGGGGGAAACCCUGAUGCAGCCAUGCCGCGUGUGUGAAGAAGGCCUUGGGUUGUAAAGCACUUUCAGUAGGGAGGAAGGUAGUGUAGUUAACACCUGCAUUAUUUGUACGUUACCUACAGAAGAAGCACCGGCUAACUCCGUGCCAGCAGCCGCGGUAAGUACGGAGGGUGCGAGCGUUAAUCGGAAUUACUGGGCGUAAAGCGCAUGCAGGCGGCCUGUUAAGUCAGAUGUGAAACGCCCGGGGUACUUAACCUCGGAAUUGCAUUUGAAACUGGCAGGCUAGAGUCUGUAGAGGGGUUAG
rnacentral:rRNA from 1 species